rnacentral:rRNA from 1 species
UACGUAGGGUCCGAGCGUUGUCCGGAGUUACUGGGCGUAAAGCGCGCGCAGGCGGCGGUGCUGGCCCGGCGUGAAAGCCCCCGGCUCAACCGGGGGAGGGUCGUCGGGGACCGCACCGCUUGAGGGCGGUAGGGGCUGGUGGAAUGCCUGGUGUAGUGGUGAAAUGCGUAGAGAUCAGGCGGAACACCCGUGGCGAAGGCGGCCAGCUGGGCCGUCCCUGACGCUGAGGCGCGAAAGCCAGGGGAGCAAACGGG